GCCUCGAUGGUGUAGUGGUAGAGCAUGCCUCCCCGGAUACGAUGAAACGCAGGUUCAGUUCCCGCCUGAGGCC